UACAGAGGUCCCAAGCGUUGUUCGGAUUCACUGGGCGUAAAGGGUGCGUAGGUGGUCGGGUAAGUCUGAUGUGAAAUCUCCGAGCUUAACUCGGAAAUGGCAUUGGAUACUAUUUGACUGGAGGGUUGGAGGGGGGACUGGAAUUCUCGGUGUAGCAGUGAAAUGCGUAGAUAUCGAGAGGAACACCAGUGGCGAAGGCGAGUCCCUGGACAACUCCUGACACUGAGGCACGAAAGCUAGGGGAGCAAACAGG
rnacentral:rRNA from 1 species